AUGAAGCGGAGAAAAGCGGCGAGGAGGCGGCGCAAGGCAGAGCAAGGCAGACCAGAGAUGGAAUCGGAGAGGUUACAAGCCUGGGCGGGAAGGUGGCGAGAAGAUCGCGAGAGGAUGGAGAAGAUUGCGGGAAGUUUGCUGGCGGAGGAAAAGAGAUAUUUGGCUAGACUUUGGAUAUAUCAUAUAUAUACACUGAAAAGGGUGGCGGCGGCUGGAUCUAUUCCGUCCUCGCUUCGUCCUCCGGCCGCCGAGACGAAGAGAUUCACCUCAUCCUCUCACCAUGCAGCCAUGACUUCUUCCUCCUCUCCAUCCCUCUGCUCGACGACAAGCUGA
rnacentral:rRNA from 1 species